GGACGGGUGAGUAACACGUGGGUAACCUGCCCUUCAGUGGGGGAUAACAGCCGGAAACGGCUGCUAAUACCGCAUGGGUUUCCGGUCCGCCUGGACCGGGAAGGAAAGACGGCCUUUGUGCUGUCACUGGAGGAUGGACCCGCGGCGUAUUAGUUAGUUGGCAGGGUAACGGCCUCCCAAGACGAUGAUACGUAGCCGACCUGAGAGGGUGAUCGGCCACAUUGGGACUGAGACACGGCCCAAACUCCUACGGGAGGCAGCA
rnacentral:rRNA from 1 species